rnacentral:rRNA from 1 species
UACGAGGGGUGCAAGCGUUGCUCGGAAUUAUUGGGCGUAAAGGGUAGGUAGGUGGUCUCAUUUGUCUGGGGUGAAAGCCUUGAGCUUAACUCAAGAAGUGCCUCGGAAACGGUGAGACUAGAGUCCUGGAGAGGGUCGUGGAAUUCCCGGUGUAGCGGUGAAAUGCGUAGAGAUCGGGAGGAACACCAGCGGCGAAGGCGGCGACCUGGACAGGUACUGACACUCAACUACGAAAGCGUGGGGAGCAAACAGG